ACGAACGCUGGCGGCGUGCUUAACACAUGCAAGUCGAACGGAAAGGCCCUGCUUUUGUGGGGUGCUCGAGUGGCGAACGGGUGAGUAACACGUGAGUAACCUGCCCUUGACUUUGGGAUAACUUCAGGAAACUGGGGCUAAUACCGGAUAGGAGCUCCUGCUGCAUGGUGGGGGUUGGAAAGUUUCGGCGGUUGGGGAUGGACUCGCGGCUUAUCAGCUUGUUGGUGGGUAGUGGCUUACCAAGGCUUUGACGGGUAGCCGGCCUGAGAGGGUGACCGGCCACAUUGGGACUGAGAUACGGCCCAGACUCCUACGGGAGGCAGCAGUGGGGAAUAUUGCACAAUGGGCGGAAGCCUGAUGCAGCAACGCCGCGUGCGGGAUGACGGCCUUCGGGUUGUAAACCGCUUUCGCCUGUGACGAAGCGUGAGUGACGGUAAUGGGUAAAGAAGCACCGGCUAACUACGUG
rnacentral:rRNA from 1 species